rnacentral:rRNA from 1 species
AUACGGAGGGUGCAAGCGUUAAUCGGAAUUACUGGGCGUAAAGCGUACGUAGGCGGUUUAUUAAGUCAGAUGUGAAAGCCCCGGGCUUAACCUGGGAACUGCAUUUGAAACUAGUAGACUAGAGUAUGGUAGAGGGGGGUAGAAUUCCUAGUGUAGCGGUGAAAUGCGUAGAUAUUAGGAGGAAUACCAGUGGCGAAGGCGGCCCCCUGGACCAAUACUGACGCUGAGGUGCGAAAGCGUGGGGAGCAAACAGGAUUAGAUACCCGUGUAGUCC